rnacentral:lncRNA from 1 species
GGAAAGGAGUGAAUAAUUUUCAAAGAAGUGAAGGAUUUUUUUUUUUAAGUUCAUUUUGCAACUUGGAAUUUCUGCGGCCAUGAGGAAGUCUGUAAGUCCCAGAAAAGGAUGGCUAGAAGGCCUUGCUGUUAUUGGAUGUGCUGCUCUCCAAAAGAGAUGGAUUACGUGUUACAAACAGCCUGGACGCUGAGACUUGGAGCAGAGGAAAGCAGCUCCCUGGCUAUUCCUGGCGAGAAUUAUAAUAACUCACAGAGGAAGAGAUUUUGUCUCACAACAGGGAGUCUCAAGUUAGUCAAAGACUUGGAAUGGUUUUCUGAUAAAUGAAAUGUAAUCAAUUAUGGUGAC